rnacentral:ncRNA from 2 species
UUUAGGACACAGGGGGGCUGGAUUUGGCCAGCUGAGAUUAAGAACCGAUAUUCUUUGACCCUAUAACCUGAACUGGGUAAUGCCAGCGUAGGAAGUUGUUUGCUACUAAUCU